UACGAAGGGGGCUAGCGUUGUUCGGAAUUAUUGGGCGUAAAGAGCUCGUAGGCGGUCUGUCGCGUCGAAUGUGAAAACCCGGGGCUCAACUCCGGGCCUGCAUUCGAUACGGGCAGACUAGAGUUCGGUAGGGGAGACUGGAAUUCCUGGUGUAGCGGUGAAAUGCGCAGAUAUCAGGAGGAACACCGGUGGCGAAGGCGGGUCUCUGGGCCGAUACUGACGCUGAGGAGCGAAAGCGUGGGGAGCAAACAGG
rnacentral:rRNA from 1 species